ensembl:lncRNA SYT9-AS1 SYT9 antisense RNA 1
AGGCACUCCCAGAGCAGAAACCCUUCGGAGCAUCCCGACUUCCUCGGCCCGCGUGCAAUCCAGGCAAAAUUGAGGUUGUCUCUGAGCCGCCCUCCCUAAGCAGGUCGGAAAGCCCCCGAAUCAUCCCAGGUCCCGCCGCGCUGCACUCGCAACCUGGGGUGGAGGUCCCUCUAGUGGUUGGCACCAAACAAAAGUUCUGUCUUAUGAAGAGCCGAGGUCAGGAAGCAUUUCCCUGUGCCCAGCGCCAAGGUCUGGGACCUUAGGUCCAAGAAAAGCGUUGGCAAUGUCUGACCACAGGAAUGGGUUCUCGAACUGGGGAGGACUGAAGCUGGAGAUCUGGUCCAGCCCCUACCUCCAGCGUGUGGCCUGAACCCGUUUUGGUUGUACUGCUAUGUUGUGGCCCUGCCCAGGCCUCCAAGGACUGGCUGCUGUUAAGCUGUUUAAAAUCCCUGUAGGCCUCAGAUGGCAGCGACACCAGGGACUCGGCAUAGUCCCCAGCUCUGGCAGGAGUCACCACAGCCCUAGCCUUUAGUUCUCUACAGGCUGGAGUGUCGACAAACUCCACAGGACACAACUUUUUCAAACCAAAUUUACCCUCGCGGUCUGAAAUGACCAGUAGGCCCAGGAGAAUUUUACAUGUGAACAGAACCUAACCCACCCUGGCAAAUAUGAGACGUGUGGUCACUGCGGGAACCUGGCCAGCAGCAGACCAAAGCACAGCCAGCAGGGGAAGGCUGGGGCCCGCAAGAGUUGUGUUACAACAGGACACCCUUCAGUUCUCUUUCACUUCCUUAAAAUAGCAGCAGAGCGACUUUUGUAGACGCAGGCUGCCACAGUUCACACAAGGUCAUGGCUGUUUCCGAAUCCCACCCUUUAUUGCCCUAGCGGAGCCACUCCCCUUACCUCCGCCCCCAGAAACUGCUAGCCUGUUCUUAAAUUGAUACAGUUACCUUUUUAAAUGUUCUAAGUCACCGGCUCUGGAGCUUCUUUGCACUUUGGAACCAACUUGCGGGAAGGAACUUUAAAAAUACUGAUAUCUCGAUCCAUCCCCAGAGGUUCUGAUUUAAUGGUCUUGGGGAUAUGGCCACGGCAUGAGGACUGUUAAAACUCCGCAGGUGAUUCUUAUGUGCAACAAAGUUUAAGAACCACUGAUGUAGGCCAUGUCGAUGUCAGUCUUCACUUAAAUCCAACAAGACCCCAGAGCUAAAACGUUCACCUGAAAGAAACCCCAUUCCCAGGCCUGCAUACUGACCUGCGCUGGCUCACAAGAAGCAAAGUGGUCCCUUAACAGGGGCUUCCUGGAGAAAAUGUCUUGACCUAAAAGAGUGAUUCGAGCUGCAGGGAUUUAAGGACCGAGCUGAAGAAGCCCCCGUCUUCCAGCGCAUGUUAUUCCCAUGACAGAUGCUAAAAGUUCAAGGGGGCUGGCCUCCAUGUAAUAAAGAGGGAGUCAUCUGAAAUGAGUUUCUUGCAAUAAUGGCUGCUCUAAUUCCCACAAGAGGCAACCAAGCAUGGGUGAGGGAGCAGUUUUGUGUCUGGCAGCCAUGGGUCUUCAGCCCACAAACUAAGGAGAUGGGACAAGGUCUACUGCUCAGCAUGGGCUGUCACACUCAUGGGCAGCUGAGCCAACCCACGUGCUCCUUGGGUUGGAAGACUGUCAUGCUUCACGCAGGCAUCUGCUGGAAAGAGUGUUCAGGUCACUGAAGCUGCCUUCCUGAUAUUUCAGAGGUAUGUGGGAAAAUUCUUAGUCACAAAUAAUAUUAGAAGUCAGAAUAUUUUUUUUAAUAAUUGUGUCCAGACCACGUGGGAGGUUUCCAAUUAAAGAGAGACUUUGCAUUUUAGUCUAAUGACUGGUUUAACAUGUAUAAUUC